UGGUCACUCUCGUCACUAUACAUCCCUGUCAUUAUACUGUACAGUGCUUUGAUGCAACCUGUGUUGUUAAAAGCGCUAUAUAAAUAAAAAUGAUUGAUUGAUUGAUUGAUUGGUAUCAAAAUCAUUCUCUCAUUAUCCCUCAAAUGAUGAUUUACCUUAUAGAAUCAUGAAGUGCAUUAUACCAUUUAAUGUAUUUUGGAAUAAAGUGGCUCCAAAUCUCCAGACCAGCAAUAAAGAUGCCAAUGGGCCAUAAAAGCAAACAAAAACUUUCUCACACUUUAAAUCCAUGCCUCUGAUUGGCAAUUCCACCCGAACGGUGGGUGUGUCGGGUAACUAUCAAAAGUCCCUAAGACCGACUAUUCAGUGCUCAAAACUUUCAAAAGUUUCUUUGAGACGGAUACUCUACAGGCUCAACUCUUGAGUCCAACCUUCUGGUAGUUACCUUCAAAUCUCACUGUGGGCUUUCCAACCUUCAAGAGGAACCAGAGGAAAACCUCCAGCUCACACCUAAAGAAAUCAUCAAGAACUUCUUGUCUACCGCAUCAGGAUUCUUUUGCAGCAACAAAAAGUAAUGCAAGUAACUUUUAUAACUAGUUGGAUACCUGUUUAAGUUUGAGCCACUUUUAAGGUGAAUUUUGAUUCUUUGAUUCUCACUAGGUUGUAGUUAAUUGAUGGGAAAUACUGCCAUUCUUCUCAUUCUCUCUCUCCUCCUUACUUUCCUGUAUCCUAUGUAUGUGUUUUGUUAAUGUGUUGUACGUAAUCUAUAGCCUCGUUUUUUUUUUUUUUUUUUUUUUUUUUUUUUUAUAAAACAGGACCUGCACACAGAUGCCAAAGCUACCAGUACCUGGUUUAAGGACCAUGGUAUCCCUGUUCUUAUUUAGCCAGCAAACUUGCCUGACCUUAACCCCAUAGAAAAUCUAUUGUGAAGAGGAAGAUGCGAUAUCCCAGACCCCACAGUGCAGAAGAGCUGAAGGCCACUAUCAGAGCAACCUGGGCUUUCAUAUCACCUUAGCUCAGCCAUAGACUGACCAACUCCAUGCCACGGUGCAUUGCUCAUUCAGCCACUUUUUCAGAAAGAACGGAUUUGAGUUUGUAUGUUGCACCAUGAAUUUCUGGCAAAGAGUACUUCAGAACCGGCGUGAACUGCAGGCAAUCCUGGCCUUCAUUAGAUGUAAUUUGUAAUAAAUACCUAAUAAAUUGUUAAAUACCUGGACAAGGUUCAAGGAGCAGAAAUGCAUACAAUUUUUUUUGUCCAAGUUAUCACAAGAGAAAUGGCCAUUGUCUUUGAGGGUCUGAAAUAUGUCCAUCCGAAGCUGUCCACUUUGUUUAUGCAGGAUGCCCCACCAUGCUUCUAUGUGUUAACUUGCCGUGCUGCAUCCAUUUAAUUUAAAUUCCCUUCCUGGUUCAGCCCGCAGUUGCUCAGAACAACUUCCGAUGCAGGUUACAGUGGAAAUGUAGUAGUCUGCAAUAACGUUAGUGUCACUGUUUUUAUUGUACGCUACCAUCCACAACGCAAACCGAUUAAAACCAUCAGUGCAACCAUUAAUUGCAAUAAUGGCUUAAUCUGAUACAUUUACUUUAUAGCAUUUGUGGGAGAAUUCCCAUUUGAAUUUGAUGUCAUUUUGCAUGUGUGAUAGUUUGGUUGUUUGGAAUGCAUUGCAGUGAUUUUUUCCCAUUUAGCCUAUAGGUAUAGUGGCAUGUAUCUUUUGAGAUGUUGUUUUUGUUUGUUUGUUUGUUGUGGUAGUAUUGUGGUAAAAGCUAUUAGCAUUUUUCACCCACUGGGUUUUAGUGCCUUAUUACCCCCUUCAUGUAGCUGCAUGAAGUCUAGGGAUUAAAAUAAAUUGUAAGUAAAGGAAGUUAGUGGGGAAUGCUCAGAGUAUUUGUUUGCACAUUUGGUUAAUUAUCAGCUUGUUUUUUGUAUGGAAGAUAUUGAGUCAUUUCUUAAAGCUUUUGUACAUUUUUAGAAAAAUGUACAAAAGAACAGCUGUUAAAAGUUGCUGCCUAUUUUGAAAUUGAUGUAGCCAAUAAAAGAACUAAAGGAAAGUAAUAAAGUUGAAUUAAAAUCUAAAUUGUUUGAAAAGGGUGUUUUAAAAAAGGAUAAAGAGUUACUUUCACAGACACAGUUGUGACCAUGUCACAAUCAAUGUUGACAUUUGAACAACAAAAAGAAAUGUUGGUUUUGUAAAUGGAACAUGAGAAAAAUAAAGCUAAGAUCUGAAAAAUGUAGGAUUGAAUUUGAGAAAGUAAAAAUGGCUGAAAAAAUGGCCUAAAUUGAAUGGCUUAUGCACUGAAGCAGUUUUAUUAAUUGACAUUCACCUAUAGAACAUGUAAAAACUCGCUCAAGUACAUUCCUGAAUACUCUUCCUCCUAAGCCUAGUUGUAUUUAUACAUGGAAUUUGAUUAGAACAUUUUAAAAAGGAAAAUUUGGAUUGUCCUGUACUUGAGAGACAAGCUAGAUGUGAAGUGAACAGUUCCUCUUUAUAUGGUCAAACUUUCUUUGGGUUUGGUAAAUGGUGAAAUUAUUGUGGGAGUUCAUCCUGCAUUACCAGUUGAAGGUGUUCACUUGAUUUUGGUGAAUGAACUAGCUGGUAAGUGUGUGUGGGACGAUGUUCCGGUCUCACCAAUAGUUUCGUCAAACAAUGUUUUUCAACAUAUUCUUGCAAAUGUGGAUUGUCUCUGUAAAAUAAUUGAUCAUUCUAGAAUGAUCUUAAAUAAAAUGUGUAGUUCUUUGCCCAUGCCUGAUUUGUCUGCUGUAUUUUUUUUCCGAUGAGCUGGGAGAAGAGUAACAUUCUGAUUUAUCCUUGGUGGAGUUGACAGUGUUCAAGAUGGAGUAUGUAAUGUUGCACAAGGUUAUUGGGAUGGGAUGCUGUUAAGAUAUUUUUUCUGGCCUUGCUUAAAAUGUAACAUUUCAGCUUUUGUAAAACAGCGUCACAUAUGCCAGUUAACAAGCAAGCCUAACCAGAAAUUAAAACCUGCUUCGUUACAUCCUGUUCCUGUGAUUGGCGAACCUUUUAACACCUUAUUAUUGACUAUAUAGGUCCAUUACCAUCUUUGAAGGUGGGUAGUAAAUACCUGUUAGUGGGUAUUGAUGCACAUUACAGUUAUCUGGCUGCCUAGUGUAUCUUUGUUGUUCCUAUAAUAAUAAUAAUCCAGAGUGAGCAGGGUACUAAUUUUAGCUCCCAUCUGUUUCAACAAGUUUUUAAAGUGAUGAAACAGUUGUAUGAUCAAAUGGUUGAACCUUGUUUUUGAACCUGGAGAUCCAGUAUUGGUUUUGCAUCCUUUAGUUUGUUGUUCUUUUGAGGCCAAAUUUGAUGGUCCCUAUGUGGUGCAACAUAAGGUGAGUGAUGUAAAUUAUAUGAUUGCCAUUCCUCCCAAUCAUGCCUCUCCAGGUGUCACCAGCAUCGUCCAUGUGAGCAUUGAAGUCCCCCAGCAAAACGUUCCCAGAUGGAUCAUUUUCCAGCACCCCUCCCAGAGACCCCAAGAAGGCCGGGUAAUCUGCACUGCUAUUUGACCCAUAGGCACAAAUGACAGAAGACUGUCUUUGUGUGCUUGUGGACAAACCAAUGCCUGUAUUGAGGAAAUCAGCCCUUCAAAUAUUUAGACAAGACAGCUCUUCAAACAUCCAUGAAUAUACCCUACACUUUCGAACACUAGACACCAUGAGUGAAUGGAAUCAGGUGGCCCUCCUAGGCGCUUAUCACAAAGGUCUUAACCCUCCGCAGACAGAUGAUCCGCAGACAGAUGAUCAUCUAUAACGAUAAUGUCAACCUUUAAACCUUCAUCAAGAAAACUAUUAAUGUGUCCCAACACCUCUCUGCUUGCACUUCGACUAGUCUUAUGUCCAGUUGUCCCUCUCAAGAAUCACCACCUUCACAAGAUCCUGAGGAGCCUAUGCAGACAGACUCCUCUCACUUAGAUGCUACUGAAAGACUGUGCCGCCUUUCUCAAUGCUAGCAACUUCAUUUCCUCUCACUACGUGACCAAACACCCACGAUCUUCAAUGAAAUCCGAUACCAGAUCACCACAAUCCAAGGCUCACCGUUGAGCGAUGGCAAAAUCACCCGGAGAACCAGGAAAUUAAACCUCAUAUCUCAACACGACCAUAAUGAACAAAUUACCUUCAUCAACCUACCUCUAGCUACCGUGGAUGUGAUCCUGGGCUGGCCAUGGCUAGAGCAACAUCCACCAACCAUUGACUGGAGCACAGGGGAGAUUGUUCACUGGAGCUUGGCCUGCAAGACCCAUGGCUACCACCAAAUCACUCAAUGCUCUCAAUCCACUAUCCCUUCUCUCCACAUCCACUCCACCAUUGAAAGUCCCGACACCUCCACCUCUGUAGUCAUCCCUGACGUUAAUCUGUCCUUUGCCAAAGUAUUCAGUAAAGAAUGAGCCACCCAGUUACCAACUCACCGGCCCUGGGACUGUAGCAUUGACCUGCUGCCAGACGCCAAAUUACCUCAUGGAUCAUCCCACUGUCUCGUCCAGAACAUGAGGCUAUGGAAAACUACAUCCAGGAAGCUCUAUGUGAGGGGUUCAUCAGGCCAUCUACAUCACCAGCCGUCUCCAGUUUCUUUUUUGUGGCCAAAAAGGACGGUGGACUUUGUCCCUGCAUAGACUACUGGGUACUCAAUGGUACAGUGAAAUUCACUUAUCCUCUUCCCCUGGUUCCCACAGCUAUAGAGGAACUCUGCGAGGCCCGUAUCUUUACCAAACUCGAUCUCUGCAGUGCGUACAACCUCAUCCGUAUCCAAAAAAGCCUUCAUCACCCCUGCUGGCCACUAUGAGUAUCAGGUCAUGCCCUAUGGACUCGCCAAUAGUCCCUCCAUAUCCCCAAAUUUUAUGAAUGAGAUCUUCCAGGACUACCUCCAUCGCUUUGUCAUCUACAUCAAAUAUAUGCUUAUCUACUCAUGAAAUCUGUAUGAACAUGACACCCAUGUCCAACAAAUCCUUCAAUGCCUCGGUGAACAUAACCUCUUUUUAAAAACUGAGAAAUGUGAAUUCCACCAAUCCACCGUCUCCUUUCUCGGGUACGUGAUAUCUGUGGAGGGCGUUCAUAUGGAAACUACGAAAGUAGAUGCUGUGUCCGACUGGGUAGAGCCGAAGACCAUGAAGGAACUACAACGCUUCCGUCACUUCAUAAAAAAUUAUAUUCUCCAUAAGACCCCUUUAACUUCCAUACUCAAAGGAGGACGACGCAUAUUAUCCUGGACACCCGAAGCACAACAAGCCUUUGACUUGCUCAGACGGUUGUUUACCACAGCUCCUAUUCUCCAACAUCCUGACCCAUCUAAAUCAUUCGUAGUGGAAGUAGACGCAGCCGACCUCGGAGUAGGGGCUAUUCUAUCUCAGUGGUCUGAUGAACCUUGUGCACUCCAUCCAUGUGUGCACUAUUCCAGAAAACUCACACCAGCUAAAUGGAACUAUGGCAUUCAAGAUUGCGAGCUCCUCGCCAUUAAACUUGCCCUCGAGGAGUGGCAGCACUGGCUGGAAGGAGCCCAGUUCCCAUUUACUGCCAUCACCAAUCACAAGAACCUUCAGUACUUCCAAAAGGCAAAAAGACUCAACGCUCGUUAAGCACGCCGGUCCCUAUUCUUCUCUCACUUUAACUUCAAAAUAACUUAUCAACCUGUUCACAAAAAUACCGUCUCUCGUAUCUCGUAAUCUCGUAUCUUCCUGACCCUGUUCUACCUCCCUCGGUUUUCGUCGCUCCAAUCCUGUGGCAGCUGGACGAAGAGAUUCAUGCCGCCGCCCUUGAGGAGCUUGCUCAAUCAGAAAUCCCUCCAGGUCUGAUAUAUGUACCCACAAGCUGCUGACUUCCACUCCUGGAUAGUGCACACACUUCAGCUGGCUUUGGAUCCCCUGGCAGCAGGCGAACCCUCUCGCUCCUCUGGCAAAAGUACUGGUGGCCAGAUAUGGCCAACAACAUCACCCAUGCUGAAGAUUCGUGUGUUGAACAUGUCACUUACUCAUUUCACCUGUGUUGUGUAUGUACAAAGUUAUCACAAAAUUGACAACAGUCUUUUAUCUUCUGUGUGUGUGGCUGUGACACAGGGCAGGAGUACUUAAUAUUUAUAUUACUGUUGUUUUUACUGAACUGUGGUACUCAAUAUUCAUAUUAAUGUUAGUUUUAGUAUACUAAAGUGCUGCUUUCAGGACAGGAGUACUCAAUAUGUGUAUUAUUAUUAUUAUUAUUAUUUUAUUUUAUUUUUAUUUAUUUAUUUAUUUUUUACUGAACUUUUGCAUGUUUAUUUCCCUAAUGUCAGUCUACAGACUUCAGUGUCUCUCAAUUCUAUUCUAAUCUGACCUCAAUCACUGUAGUUGUAGCUGAGGCCAAACAGAGUACAGUAGGCUCUAGAAAUGGCAGCAUUAAGAGAGUUUUUCAUUGAUUUUCAUAUUUUGAUCUUACUAGUAAUUAUGUAUAUAGUUUGUUUAUAUUGCUACAUUUUAGAUACUGUGCAGUGAGCUGAUUCUUUAUGCAUUUCAAUUGCAGGAAGAGUCUCAGUCACUCUAAUCAUCAGCACCCAUCUUCACUUGUUCCCAAUCACAGAGUUCUGAUCAGCUGCACCUGUCACCUGCAAUCAAGCCCAGCCACAAAAGCACGCUCCUCACUGUCCAGUCUAACAUUCACUCUGUCAAAUCAAGCCAGACUAACUUUUUCUCUUUGUUCUCUCAGCAGACUGUUUACUGUAUUGUGUAUCUUGUCUUCACUACUCCAGGUUUUCAGAGCUCCCAAAGACUCUCAAGUCCUAGUAGGAAUCCUGGUUACUCUCCGUUGUGCCUACACAGCCCCCCGAGCUCCCUGUCCUCCCCGCUCUCUCCUAGUCAUUCUGUUUACUGCUCUGGGAAUGUUUGUUUAAUAAACCUGUCAACCGA